CCUACGGGUGGCAGCAGUGGGGAAUAUUGCACAAUGGGCGAAAGCCUGAUGCAGCGACGCCGCGUGAGUGAAGAAGUAUUUCGGUAUGUAAAGCUCUAUCAGCAGGGAAGAAAAUGACGGUACCUGACUAAGAAGCCCCGGCUAACUACGUGCCAGCAGCCGCGGUAAUACGUAGGGGGCAAGCGUUAUCCGGAUUUACUGGGUGUAAAGGGAGCGUAGACGGCAGCACAAGUCUGGAGUGAAAUGCCGGGGCUUAACCCCGGAACUGCUUUGGAAACUGUGCAGCUAGAGUGCAGGAGAGGUAAGUGGAAUUCCUAGUGUAGCGGUGAAAUGCGUAGAUAUUAGGAGGAACACCAGUGGCGAAGGCGGCUUACUGGACUGUAACUGACGUUGAGGCUCGAAAGCGUGGGGAGCAAACAGGAUUAGAUACCCCUGUAGUC
rnacentral:rRNA from 1 species